rnacentral:tRNA from 1 species
GAGGGUAUAGCUCAGUGGUAGGGUUCAUGCUUGGCAUGCAUGAGGUCCUAAGUUCAAUACCCAGUACCUCCA